UUAUAGUUUCUAUGGGCCACCUAAUUUUGAUGGAGGGAGAGCAGUUCCAAUUAAAGUCUUUUCAAGAUUGAGAACUAAAUUUGAAUUAAGAGGUAAAGUAGCCAUUCAGUUUUGUUAACUUUCUCAUUUUUAAAAGAUGUAUGCAAACUCACACUGAAAUUUUGUUCCAAGCAUUAACAGAAAAUUAGAGGAUUACUGAUAGAAUUGUCUGUCACACUUCUGUAGUUGACAUACUUCUAAGGUGAUUUUCGUAGGAGGAGAUCCAUUACAGCUUUUUUAAAGCUUAGUUUUAAAGACAUUUUUUAAGAACCAAAAUUAUUUGCAUGUUUUAGAUGAACUCGAAGAAAUGUUGAAUCCAAUGGGAACUGUUCAAACAAAUCCAUAUACUGAAAAUGCAACAGCUUUGCAUGUUAAAUUUCCAGAGAAUAAAAAACAACCUUAUUAUUACCCUCCCUUCGAUAAGAGUCGAGGUGGAAAAAAGUUUCUUCCUGUAUUGAAAGAAAUCUUGGACAGGGAUCCCUUGUCUCAACUGUGUGAAAAUGAAAUGGAUCUUAUUUGGACUUUGCGACAAGACUGCCGAGAGAUUUUCCCACAAUCACUGCCAAAAUUACUGCUGUCAAUCAAGUGGAAUAAACUUGAGGAUGUUGCUCAGCUUCAGGCGCUGCUUCAGAUUUGGCCUAAACUGCCCCCCCGGGAGGCCCUAGAGCUUCUGGAUUUCAACUAUCCAGACCAGUACGUUCGAGAAUAUGCUGUAGGCUGCCUGCAACAGAUGAGUGAUGAAGAACUUUCUCAAUAUCUUUUACAACUGGUGCAAGUGUUAAAAUAUGAGCCUUUUCUUGAUUGUGCCCUCUCUAGAUUCCUAUUAGAAAGAGCACUUGGUAAUCGGAGGAUAGGGCAGUUUCUAUUUUGGCAUCUUAGGUCAGAAGUGCACAUUCCUGCUGUCUCAGUACAAUUUGGUGUCAUCCUUGAAGCAUACUGCCGGGGAAGUGUGGGGCACAUGAAAGUGCUUUCUAAGCAGGUUGAAGCACUCAAUAAGUUAAAAACUUUGAAUAGUUUAAUCAAACUGAAUGCCGUGAAGUUAAACAGAGCCAAAGGGAAGGAGGCCAUGCAUACCUGUUUAAAACAGAGUGCUUACCGGGAAGCCCUCUCUGACCUGCAGUCACCCCUGAACCCAUGUGUUAUCCUCUCAGAACUCUAUGUUGAAAAGUGCAAAUACAUGGAUUCCAAAAUGAAGCCUUUGUGGCUGGUAUACAAUAACAAGGUAUUUGGUGAGGAUUCAGUUGGAGUGAUUUUUAAAAAUGGUGAUGAUUUACGACAGGAUAUGUUGACACUCCAAAUGUUGCGCCUGAUGGAUUUACUCUGGAAAGAAGCUGGUUUGGAUCUUCGGAUGUUGCCUUAUGGCUGUUUAGCAACAGGAGAUCGCUCUGGCCUCAUUGAAGUUGUGAGCACCUCUGAAACAAUUGCUGACAUUCAGCUGAACAGUAGCAAUGUGGCUGCUGCAGCAGCCUUCAACAAAGAUGCCCUUCUGAACUGGCUUAAAGAAUACAAUUCUGGGGAUGACCUGGACCGAGCCAUUGAGGAAUUUACACUGUCCUGUGCUGGCUACUGUGUAGCUUCUUAUGUCCUUGGCAUUGGUGACAGACAUAGUGACAACAUCAUGGUCAAAAAAACUGGCCAGCUCUUCCACAUUGACUUUGGACACAUUCUUGGAAAUUUCAAAUCUAAGUUUGGCAUUAAAAGGGAGCGAGUGCCUUUUAUUCUUACCUAUGAUUUCAUCCAUGUCAUUCAACAAGGAAAAACAGGAAAUACAGAAAAGUUUGGCCGGUUCCGCCAGUGUUGUGAAGAUGCAUAUCUGAUUUUACGACGGCAUGGGAAUCUCUUCAUCACUCUCUUUGCGCUGAUGUUGACUGCAGGGCUUCCUGAACUCACAUCAGUCAAAGAUAUACAGUAUCUUAAGGACUCUCUUGCAUUAGGGAAGAGUGAAGAAGAAGCACUCAAACAGUUUAAGCAAAAAUUUGAUGAGGCGCUCAGGGAAAGCUGGACUACUAAAGUGAACUGGAUGGCCCACACAGUUCGGAAAGACUACAGAUCUUAACGAUCAGCCUUCGCUCCUAAUGUAUUUGUUGGUUUCAUUUCAUUUUCAUUUUGCACUUGCACUAAAUUGAACAUGACCCUGUUAGAGAUGUUAUAAAGGGAAUGAAAUCCUGGAACUCAGAGUUAAAUUAAGAACAAGGCAUCCCACAGAACCUAAUCUGAACAAUCCCCGAUGAUUCCCUCUGCUUUUUGAAUGCUUCCAAGACUUAUCAUGAAAACUGUCAAUGGAUAAUCAUUUCCUGCUGACUUUGCACGCCAAGGAAUGCUACUAGGGAUUGUUUCCGUUUUUGUUUUUUCU
rnacentral:sRNA from 1 species